UGCUGUGAUUACAGGCAUGAGCCACCCCACCUGGUCUACAAACAGCAAAGAGAUUGGAAACCUCACCACAGAAAUGCCUCUCAAGAAACUGAGUUCAGUCUGGGGGGGCUGAGUCAGACAGGAUUGCUGAUAUCCGUCAUCCACCCAGGGGCAGCGGAGAAUACAUGAGCGACCCUGUGGCAAUCCUGGGAGAAGCCUGACCUGACCUGCAUGGAGGUCAAAGUCAAGGUCAAGGUCAGGUAAAGCCAGGACCACCUGCCUCUGGCUGUGUCCACAGCCCGACCCCCAACAGCCAGCUUCUCUGCUGUGGCAGUGACACGUUUCUCCACCAGACCUGCAGAGUCAUCUUGGAGGAGAAUGGAGAGACGAAUGAGAAGCCCAGCCUGAGUCGCUCUCCCCUCCACAGGGCUCUGGGGACAGACAAGGGCCUGAGGCAUCAUGUGUGCACCAGCACAGCUGGGACCCCGGAAAUGCCAGACGGUGCCCUGGACUAGGGGAUGCAGCCUGCUAAUGGGGGAGGAGACCUUGUCUUCCGCACGGCCUCCUGCCUGGGUCCCCGGCUGGGCUCUUG